AGCAAAAUGAUGAAGUUCUUUACUCCGAAGUUUGAUGCGGAGAACAUAUAUCAAUGGUCUUCAAAGUUCUCUGAUUGCU